rnacentral:rRNA from 1 species
AACGAACGCUGGCGGCAUGCCUAACACAUGCAAGUCGAACGAGACCUUCGGGUCUAUUUGCGCACGAGUGCGUAACGCGUGGGAACCUGCCCUUAUGUUCGGAAUAACUCCCCGAAAGGGGUGCUAAUACCGGAUAAUGUCUUCUGACCAAAGAUUUAUCGCCUUUGGAUGGUCCCGCGUUGGAUUAGCUAGUUGGUAGGGUAAAAGCCUACCAAGGCGACGAUCCAUAGCUGGUCUGAGAGGAUGAUCAGCCACACUGGGACUGAGACACGGCCCAGACUCCUACGGGAGGCAGCAGUAGGGAAUAUUGGAAAAUGGGCGAAAGCCUGAUCCAGCAAUGCCGCGUGAGUGAUGAAGGCCUUAGGGUUGUAAAGCUCUUUUAAACGGGAUGAUAAUGACAGUAACGGGAGAAUAAGCUCCGGCUAACUCCGUG